CAAUCCUGGGUAUUUCUAUUCUUAAAAAAUAUCGCAUAUGCACCAUGAACGUACCAACGAUUAGACGACCGGUCAGUCUAACCUGAUGGAGAAUUCCAAGUUCGUGUGACUAUUAAAAGUUAAAUGAUUAUCAAGAGGUUUUACUCAAAAUAAAAGAAUCUGGCAAAAAGUGCGACGGUCGGCCUCGUAAACCGAGAUAUCAGGCGUUAAAGUUUGAGAUUUUAGAGGUUAAGAUAUCUAUCAACUUGAUGAAAUGGUCGCAUUCAGUAAACUGAACUUGACUCAACUGUGCUAAAAGCGAAUCCGUGAGCGCUUUCUAUUAUUAAUCCGGACUUAAGCAGAAUGAUAAGGUAGCUCAAUGAUAAAUAAAUAUAAAUAGAAAUGAGCAUACAGCUACAACGCAAGAUGUCAUUCGCAAAGUCAUACAUUUAAAAAAUAGACUAAGGUAAACGUUUCGGUCAAGUUAUGACCAUCAUCAGCACA